UACAGAGGGUGCAAGCGUUGUUCGGAAUUACUGGGCGUAAAGAGUGUGUAGGCGGUGCUCCCAGUCUGUUGUGAAAUCUCCCGGCUUAACUGGGAGGGUGCAGCGGAAACUAGAGUGCUAGAGGGUGGGAGAGGUAAGCGGAAUUCCUGGUGUAGCGGUGAAAUGCGUAGAUAUGCGGAGGAACACCGAUGGCGAAGGCAAUCCCCUGGGCCUGCACUGACGCUCAUGCACGAAAGCGUGGGGAGCAAACAGG
rnacentral:rRNA from 1 species